UCAAUGGACGCAAGUCUGAACCAGCCAUGCCGCGUGAAGGAUGAAGGUCCUCUGGAUUGUAAACUUCUUUUAUCUGGGACGAAAACGGGAUUUUUAUCUCAAUUGACGGUACCAGAGGAAUAAGCACCGGCUAACUCCGUGCCAGCAGCCGCGGUAAUACGGAGGGUGCGAGCGUUAUCCGGAUUUACUGGGUUUAAAGGGUGCGUAGGUGGGCUUAUAAGUCAGUGGUGAAAUCUCCGAGCUUAACUUGGAAACUGCCGUUGUUACUAUAGGUCUUGAAUUAUCUGGAGGUAAGCGGAAUAUGUCAUGUAGCGGUGAAAUGCUUAGAUAUGACAUAGAACACCAAUUGCGAAGGCAGCAUACUACAUAUAAAUUGACGCUGAGGCACGAAAGCGUGGGGAUCA
rnacentral:rRNA from 1 species